rnacentral:rRNA from 1 species
CGGUGAAUACGUUCCCGGGCCUUGUACACACCGCCCGUCAAACCAUGGAAGCUGAGGGUACCUGAAGUCCGUAACCACUCCGGUGGAGCGGCCUAGGGUAAAACCAGUGACUGGGGUU